rnacentral:tRNA from 1 species
GCGCCCUUAGCUCAGCUGGAUAGAGCAACGCCCUUCUAAGGCGUGGGUCGCAGGUUCGAAUCCUGCAGGGCGCA